AGUUACGGCCAUACACAGUGAAAAGCACCGGAACCCGUCCGAUCUCCGAAGUUAAGCCACUGAUGGCCCAGUCAGUACUACGGUUGGGGACAACGUGGGAAUACUGGGUGCUGUAACUC
rfam:Rhizophagus irregularis DAOM 197198w jcf7180003180414, whole genome shotgun sequence.